UGAGAAGAACAAGGUGUGGCACUUCU
rnacentral:piRNA from 1 species